UCGAUAUAUUCCGGAGCGAUAAGGCGAC
rnacentral:piRNA from 1 species